GACGAACGCUGGCGGCGUGCCUAACACAUGCAAGUCGAACGAGGUCCAAGGGAGCUUGCUCCCUGAAGACCUAGUGGCGAACGGGUGAGUAACACGUGAGAAACCUGCCCUCGAGUGGGGAAUAACCCGGGGAAACCCGGGCUAAUACCGCAUACGCUCCUCUGGUCGCAUGGCCGGAGGAGGAAAGUUUUUCGCUCAAGGAGGGUCUCGCGGCCUAUCAGCUUGUUGGCGGGGUAACGGCCCACCAAGGCCACGACGGGUAGCUGGUUUGAGAGAACGAUCAGCCACACUGGGACUGGGACACGGCCCAGACUCCUACGGGAGGCAGCAGUGGGGAAUCUUGCGCAAUGGGCGAAAGCCUGACGCAGCAACGCCGCGUGCGGGAUGACGGCCUUCGUGGUUGUAAACCGCUUUCAGCAGGGACGAAAAUGACGGUACCUGCAGAAGAAGCUCCGGCUAACUACGUGCCAGCAGCCGCCGUAA
rnacentral:rRNA from 1 species